rnacentral:rRNA from 1 species
CUCAGAGUGAACGCUGGCGGUAGGCCUAACACAUGCAAGUCGAACGGCAGCACAGUAAGAGCUUGCUCUUAUGGGUGGCGAGUGGCGGACGGGUGAGGAAUACAUCGGAAUCUACCUUUUCGUGGGGGAUAACGUAGGGAAACUUACGCUAAUACCGCAUACGACCUUCGGGUGAAAGCAGGGGACCUUCGGGCCUUGCGCGGAUAGAUGAGCCGAUGUCGGAUUAGCUAGUUGGCGGGGUAAAGGCCCACCAAGGCGACGAUCCGUAGCUGGUCUGAGAGGAUGAUCAGCCACACUGGAACUGAGACACGGUCCAGACUCCUACGGGAGGCAGCAGUGGGGAAUAUUGGACAAUGGGCGCAAGCCUGAUCCAGCCAUACCGCGUGGGUGAAGAAGGCCUUCGGGUUGUAAAGCCCUUUUGUUGGGAAAGAAAAGCAGUCGAUUAAUACUCGGUUGUUCUGACGGUACCCAAAGAAUAAGCACCGGCUAACUUCGUGCCAGCAGCCGCGGUAAUACGAAGGGUGCAAGCGUUACUCGGAAUUACUGGGCGUAAAGCGUGCGUAGGUGGUUGUUUAAGUCUGUUGUGAAAGCCCUGGGCUCAACCUGGGAAUUGCAGUGGAUACUGGGCGACUAGAGUGUGGUAGAGGGUAGUGGAAUUCCCGGUGUAGCAGUGAAAUGCGUAGAGAUCGGGAGGAACAUCCAUGGCGAAGGCAGCUAC